rnacentral:rRNA from 1 species
GACGAACGCUGGCGGCGUGCUUAACACAUGCAAGUCGAACGGAAAGGCCCUGCUUUUGUGGGGUGCUCGAGUGGCGAACGGGUGAGUAACACGUGAGUAACCUGCCCUUGACUUUGGGAUAACUUCAGGAAACUGGGGCUAAUACCGGAUAGGAGCUCCUGCUGCAUGGUGGGGGUUGGAAAGUUUCGGCGGUUGGGGAUGGACUCGCGGCUUAUCAGCUUGUUGGUGGGGUAGUGGCUUACCAAGGCUUUGACGGGUAGCCGGCCUGAGAGGGUGACCGGCCACAUUGGGACUGAGGUACGGCCCAGACUCCAACGGGAGGAAGAAGUGGGGAAUAUUGCAAAAUGGGCGGAAGCCUGAGGCAGCAACGCCGCGUGCGGGAUGACGGCCUUCGGGUUGUAAACCGCUUUCGCCUGUGACGAAGCGUGAGUGACGGUAAUGGGUAAAGAAGCACCGGCUAACUACGUG